UCGAGCAGCGUUGUUGUUUAAUGGACAGUUUAACUAUCAAUUAUACUUGUUUAUCAGUACAGCUGUAAGGAAUCCUACACAGAACAAAACAGAAUGUAUAAAAUGCAUAUGUUGUGGGCUUCGUGGCGUCAUUGGCAUGCAAUUAAGUAGAGUCAUAUAUUACUUGCUAUAUUGCUAACUUUAGCAAACGUUUUAUUUAAUAAUCAUUAUUUAAUAUGACAAUUACGUUAUAUGGGUGUGACUAUA